AGGUUCGGUGCGUCGCGGCUGGCCUGAAGGAAGGAGCCAGGGGUUGCGUGUUGUCCUAGAAAGUCCUCGACUUUGAGGGGAUGAUGAAUUAAAAGGAGGACGGGCGACAAGUACAGUACUGGAAGGACCCGAACAGACUUGGUUGUGACCUUAGGCUAAUGUCUUAGCUUCCUAACCCUGUCUCCUCAUCAGUAAGUUCCAAGUCAUUUCCUACCGUUCAGCCAAUGAGCUUCCUUUGCCUGAUUUGUGGUGAACUUAGGUUUGGAGAGUUUAUUGUCUGACCAUUAUAUACAGGAGGUAAGAAAUUCCUCUUAUACUCCUGUUCUGGUAUCCCUCUGGAAGCUGGGCAAGUUAAUACAUGUU